AAGUUCCAAGUUUUGAGUUUAUCUUAAACACUUGUUACAUGGCACCUGAUACUUUAUACAUUCUAGUGGCGGACGGGUGAGUACACGUUGGAACCUGCCCCAAAGUGAGGAAUAAGCCACCGAAAGGUGGUCUAAUACUUCAUAAUAUCCAUCUCGUAUGGAUUAAAAGCUUUAUGCGCUUUGGGAGGGGCCUGCGUAACAUUAGCUUGUUGGUGAGGUAAAAAGCUCACCAAGGCUUCGAUGUUUAACUGGUUUGAGAGGAUGACCAGUCACACUGGGACUGAGAUACGGCCCAGACUCCUACGGGAGGCAGCAGUAAGGAAUCUUCCACAAUGGGGCAACCCUGAUGGAGCAAUACCGCGUGCAGGAUGAAGCGUUUCGGCGUGUAAACUGCUUUUAUCACCGAAGAUUAUGACUGUAGGUGAAGAAUAAGGACCGGCUAACUACGUG
rnacentral:rRNA from 1 species